AUUGAACGCUGGCGGCAGGCCUAACACAUGCAAGUCGAGCGAGCGGCGGACGGGUGAGUAAUGUCUGGGAAACUGCCUGAUGGAGGGGGAUAACUACUGGAGACGGUAGCUAAUACCGCAUACCAUCAGAUAUUCCCAGAUGGGAUUGGCUAUUAGGUGGGGGAACGGCUCACCUAGGCGACGAUCCCUAGCUGGUGUGAGAGGAUGACCAGCCAACCUGGAACUGAGACACGGUCCAGACGCCUACGUGAGGCAGCAGUGGGGAAUAUUGCACAAUGGGCGCAAGCCGGAUGCAGCCAUGCCGCGUGUGUGAAGAAGGCCUUCGGGUUGUAAAGCACUUUCAGCGGGGAGGCGUUACCCGCAGAAGAAGCACCGGCUAACUCCGUGCCAGCAGCCGCGGUAAUUC
rnacentral:rRNA from 1 species